GACGAACGCUGGCGGCGUGCUUAACACAUGCAAGUCGAACGGAGAAGCGCCUUCCUUUUUGGUGGGUGUGGAUGAGUGGCGAACGGGUGAGUAACACGUGAGUAACCUGCACUCUUCUUCUGCAUAACCGCAUGAAAGUGUGGCUAAUACGGGAUAUCCUGGGUCUGUCGCAUGAUGGGUCUGGGAAAGAGAUUGGGUCGGGGGGGGAGGGGCUCGCGGCCUAUCGGCGUGUUGGGGGGGUGAUGGCCUACCAAGGCGGUGAGGGGUAGCAGGCCUGGGAGGGUGGACGGUCUCAGUGGGUCAGCGGCCCGGCCCAGACUCAUACGGGAGGCAGCCGUGGGCAGGAGUGAACAGUGGGGGAAAGUCUAAUGCAGCGACGACGCGGAAGCGAUGAAGGCCUGCGGGUUGUGAACGUCUUUCGCCAGUGAAGCGGGUCUGCCUCGUAUGUGGGUGGGUUGACGGUAGCUGGUUAAGAAGCGCCGGCUAACUACGUG
rnacentral:rRNA from 1 species